GAAGAAACAAAAAAAUUUUCAUUGAUAAACGAUUGUGGUUACAAAUCUAUUGUUCCCUUGAUUCUUCUCUCUUGAUUUUCUCCGUAAUUCAUCUCUUGAUUUUUUCUGUAAUUUGAGGGCCGUUAGUGGCUUAUUCUCAAACAUAGGAUGAUCUCUUUAUGAAUAUCUCAUGAUUUUGUAUUCUCUCUUGAUUUUCUCCGUUAUUCGAGGGCAUGACUGAUUUUGUGUUCUCUCUUAAUUUUCUCCAUAAUUUGAGGGCGUGACUUAUUCUCAAACAUAGGAUGAUCUCUUUAUGAAUAUCUCAUGAUUUUGUGUUCUCUCUUGAUUUUCCUUAUAAUUCGAGGGCGUGACUUAUUUUGUGUUCUCUCUUGAUUUUCCUUAUAAUUCUUUUCCAUAAUUUGAGGGCGUGACUUAUUCUCAAAUUCUUCUCCAUAAUUUGAGGGCGUGACUUAUUCUCAAACAUAGGAUGAUCUCUUUAUGAAUAUCUCAUGAUUUUGUGUUCUCUCUUGAUUUUCCUUAUAAUUCGAGGGCGUGACUUAUUUUGUGUUCUCUCUUGAUUUUCCUUAUAAUUCGAGGGCGUCUCUUGAUUUUCCUUAUAAUUCUUCGGGCGUGACUUAUUCUCAAACAUAGGAUGAUCUCUUUAUGAAUAUCUCAUGAUUUUGUGUUCUCUCUUGAUUUUCCUUAUAAUUCGAGGGCGUGACUUAUUUUGUGUUCUCUCUUGAUUUUCCUUAUAAUUCGAGGGCGUGACUUAUUCUCAAACAUAGGAUGAUCUCUUUAUGAAUAUCUCAUGAUUUUGUGGGAUAUUGGAGAUCCCAAUCUUUUUACGAAUACCAUCAGC
rnacentral:lncRNA from 1 species